rnacentral:rRNA from 1 species
GACGGAGGGUGCAAACGUUGUUCAGAAUCACUGGGCAUAAAGCGCACGUAGGCGGCGCACUAAGUCAGGUGUGAAAGCCCCCGGCUUAACCGGGGAACGGCGCCUGAUACUGGCGUGCUCGAGGACGGUUGGGGUGAGUGGAACUCCUGGUGGAGCGGUGAAAUGCGUAGAUAUCAGGAGGAACACCGGUGGCGAAGGCGGGUCUCUGGGCAAUUCCUGACGCUGAGGCGCGAAAGCGUGGGGAGCAAACGGG